CACCUCCCCCGUCCUGACACAACGUCCUGCAGAGAUGUUGUGCGACCUGCCGUGUCACACGUCGGUGGAGGUG
rfam:Tolypocladium ophioglossoides CBS 100239 scaffold_4, whole genome shotgun sequence.